GGGUGCGCCCUAACCCACGGGCCUGUGUUUGGAGAUAAGGUCUUCAGAGAAGUUGUUCAGUUACCGAGGUUCAAGUCGGGGACCGAAGCCAACCUGACCAGUGCUCUCGUAAGAAGAGGAGACCAGGACAUGGGAGAGGCAGCAGGGACGGACAGAGAGAAGACGCGGGUGGACACAGACCCAGAGAGGCAGAAGGACGACUCCCAGGAGAAGCCACCCUGACGGUGCCUUGGGCUGGGGCUCCGCCUCCGGAACCGUGAGGACACACACUGCCCUUGUCAAAGCCACCUGGGCAGUGGCACUUUCUCCUGGCAGCUGGGGUGGAUUGGGACAACCGCCCCCUGGGAACGCUCUGCCUGUGGGGGCUCCUGGAGGCCAGGGAAGAAGAAAGGGGGGAGGCAGAGAGGGAGGAGGAGCCCUGACAUAAGAAGAGGAAGAGGAAGAGGAAGCAGGAAGAGAAGAGGAGGAAAGGAAGGGGCAACCGGAGCCUGAGCGCACCCGGGACGGGCUCUGCAGGUUGACAAGAGAUGGAAAACUUUCGUGUCAGUAGCAGCUGCCCCGGGGGUCCUCAGCCAGCCUGGCCCUGCCUCAGACCCCAUGGGCCCCCGUCCCAGGAGGCCACCGGCCCUUUCCAGCCUCCCCAGGCAGGGCGUGUACACUCCCCAAUCACCUCUGGGGUCCCCCGGAUGCCCGGUGUGACCUGGGCCGCCUGGCUCCCCAGCCCUCUGAUCCGUAAAAGCCUGGGCUUGAGUUUUCAGAAAGCUCUCAAAAGUGAUGGUGUUAGCAGAGCAGCGAAAGGGUCCAGUCCAGGAGGCCUUCUGUCCUGUUAAUGCCAGUCCUGGUGGCUGCUGCAGGUGUGGCUGCUGGGGAACGGAUGCAGUGGCAUCUCACUGGCUCCAUGUGGCUGCUGGGCAAGGGUCACCCUGCUUCUUCCAGGUGGAGCUGGGAGAGGAGCAGCCCCAGGGCCGGUGCCAGGACCCCAAUGACUGCACCUACUGAGCCCCCUCCGUGCCUCUGAAGUCAGGGACUUGUAUUUCUAGCAAGGUUCCCAGCGGUUCUGAUAAUGAGAAGGGUUUUAGCCCUGAGAGCCGUAGAACAGGACCUGGGCCCCCAGGAGGAUGGGUCUCAAGGUGUCAUCCCAUGGGAGGUCAGAGGGGAACAAAGCCAGAAUCGGGAACACGGAGCAGAAAAGCUGACACUGCUGGAGAUGGGGAGAAUGCAACCCCGACCGUGUCCUGGGGGUGCACCCAGAAUGCCCACAGCCCUGGGCUUGGGCUUCAAGGACGCGUGACAAGUGCCAGCCCUGCUUCCUGCAACACUCGCACACACCCACGCUAAGCACAGGGCUACACCUGCUAUUCUGCAGCCACGCACCUCUGGUUUUGGUCCUGCAUCCAAAGCCCAUUUUGCAGGUCAAGAAGGGGCCCAAGGGACCGGCACCGUGGCGGGGCUUCUGCGGCAGCAGCAGCAGCAAACAUGGGAUCCUCCCCUCCCCUCCCAGGCUGAGCGCUGCCAGCCAGAGCCCGGAGGACCCCACCCCACGCUCCCCGGAGAAAAGCUUUCAGGUGAUGCUGCUUCCGAGGGGCCUGCCAGGCAGAGCCAAGGACACGGUCCUGUCACCCCCACGAUGGCCAUGGAUGGCGCCCCAGUGGAUGAUCGAUCGGGAUGGGACGGCCCCAACUCAGCCCCCACAGGGCCUCUGCAUGCCCCAAGCAGCCCCAUGUCCUCCCCUGUGGCCCCUGAGCCCCAGGUCAUGCCUAUCGAAGCGCCUUGUUUUAUUUUCUUCACGACACACUGAAAUCUAACAUUUGCCCGUGUAUUUAGUUACCUCUUUGCUUAUUUAUUUCCUGUCUCUGUUCAUCAGAAAUUAGGCUAAGAAAGAAAGAAAAGAAAGAAAGAAAGAGAGGAUGGGAUGGAGAGAGGAAAGAAGAAGAAAAGGAGGAAGGAAGGGAGGAGGGAGGAAGGAGAGAAGAACACUCCCUUCCUUGCCUCUAGUGGCUGGAGCAUAGUAGGUGCCCAAAUAUUUGCUGACCGAAUGCUGAUUCUGGAAGAGAGCAGAGGUGGUUGCUCCGUAAGUUCCCAUUCCAGAAGUAAACUUUCCACCAAGCUUAAAGUCACUAUGCUGGCAUGACUGGUAUUAGGACUAAGGUGGAACCCUUAGCACAACCAGCAUGGGAAGGAGAGGCCCUACUGGACCCAGGG
ensembl:lncRNA